GCACAGCAUACUCUGAAGGCAGAGAUCUGACAGUCCUCGUCUGAAUUUGGAGGAGGACCAUGCAGUAUAGGAGAAGACGAGACUCUUGAGGAGAAGCACUUCCACCGUCUAUCCGAGCACGUGAGAUAUCCCAGCAAUAAAGAAAACAGAAAGUAAUCCAAUACAUUUGCCGGGAAACAGUAUGAUUCAGUUCCUAUAGUACAGCAUGUUGCAAUUUCCUUGCAAGUGGCAUCUCUCCCAUGAGUCACCACUGAGUCGAAUUCCUCUCCAUUACUGGAUAUUGCUUCUCAAAUUUACAGGGAACUUACAAACCCUCUUCCUAUUUGUUUCCGGUUUCAUUCUGAGAAAUACAGUUUGAUGUCUGUAUUUUUGUCAGAACUUUGAAAAUAGUCAUUUAGCGCGUCCCAUCAGUCACUCAUCUGUCAUUGUGGCUGAGAGCUAGUUUCAGUGAAUAUAUAUACAGUGGGGGAUAUUUUUCAUGAGGGGAAUAUUUGAAGUCAUUUGUCAAAUGUGACAAAGAAAGUGAGGGAUUUGGAGCUUUGUUCUGUGAUUACAUUUCUUAUAAAGGAACAAUUAAGCCUAAAGAAAUCCAUGAAAGGAUGAUUGCUGUAUAUGGUGAUGAUGCACCUUCCCAUUUUGGGUUAAGCAGUUUAAAUGGGGUAGGGAAUCAAUUGAAGAUGACCUCGUUCAGGUCGACCUGUCGAAGCAUCUUCAGAGGAAAUAUGCCGUAAAGUGGAGGCCAUGAUUUUGUAAGAUCAUCAGGUCAAAGUCAGUGUUCUAGCUUUUGAAUUAAGCAUUUUAGUUGGCACAGUUUCCAGUAUAAUUCAUGAUGUUUUGAUGAUGUCAAAGAUCAGUUCCCAGUGGGUGCCACAAAUGUUGAUGCCUGAUCAAAAAACUUGUCGCCAGCAAUAGACAAUUUAGACAUGCUUAGAGAAAAUCUAGGAGACUUCUAUUCUCAAAUUAUUACUGGUGAUGAAACAUGGUCCUGAGACCAAACAACGGUCAAUUCUUUUUCUGUAAUGCCCAGCCCUCUCCACUAGGAUGGACAGGGCUAGGCAUGAUGAUGUUUUCACUGCCUGGUCCUGUCAAUCUUGGCAGUAACAGAAAGAGCAGAGCCUCUAGG